GACGAACGCUGGCGGCGUGCUUAACACAUGCAAGUCGAACGGAAAGGCCCUGCUUUUGUGGUGUGCUCGAGUUGCGAACUGGUGAGUAACACGUGUGUAACCUUCCCUUUACUUUGGUAUAACUUCAGGAAACUUGGUCUAAUACCGGAUAGGAGCUCCUGCUGCAUGGUGGGGGUUGGUAAGUUUCGGCGGUUGGGGAUGGACUCGCGGCUUAUCAGCUUGUUUGUGGGGUAGUGGCUUACCAAGGCUUUGACGGGUAGCCGGCAUGAGAGGGUGACCGGCAACAAUGGGACUGAGAUACGGACCAGACUCCUACGGGAGGAAGCAGUGGGGAAUAUAGCACAAUGGGCGGAAGCCUGAUGAAGCAACGCAGCGUGAGGGAUGAAGGCCUUCGGGUUGUAAAACGAAUUCGAAUGUGAAGAAGAGUGAGUGACGGUAAUGGGUAAAGAAGCAACGGCUAACUACGUG
rnacentral:rRNA from 1 species